AUUGAACGCUGGCGGCAGGCCUAACACAUGCAAGUCGAACGGUAACAGGAAACAGCUUGCUGUUUCGCUGACGAGUGGCGGACGGGUGAGGAAUGUCUGGGAAACUGCCUGAUGGAGGGGGAUAACUACUGGAAACGGUAGCUAAUACCGCAUAACGUCGCAAGACCAAAGAUGGGGACCUUCGGGCCUCUUGCCAUCGGAUGUGCCCAGAUGGGAUUAGCUAGUAGGUGGGGUAACGGCUCACCUAGGCGACGAUCCCUAGCUGGUCUGAGAGGAUGACCAGCCACACUGGAACUGAGACACGGUCCAGACUCCUACGGGAGGCAGCAGUGGGGAAUAUUGCACAAUGGGCGCAAGCCUGAUGCAGCCAUGCCGCGUGUAUGAAGAAGGCCUUCGGGUUGUAAAGUACUUUCAGCGGGGAGGAAGGGAGUAAAGUUAAUACCUUUACUCAUUGACGUUACCCGCAGAAGAAGCACCGGCUAACUCCGUG
rnacentral:rRNA from 1 species